GAGGCUAUAGCUCAGUGGUAGAGCACGUGCUUAGCAUCCAUGAAGUCUUGAGUUCAAUCCCCAGUAUCUCCA
rnacentral:tRNA from 1 species